CCUACGGGUGGCAGCAGUGGGGAAUAUUGCACAAUGGGGGAAACUCUGAUGCAGCGACGCCGCGUGAGUGAAGACGGAUUUAGGUACGUAAAGCUCCAUCAGUAGGGAAGUAAAUGACGGUACCUGACUAAGAAGCCCCGGCUAACUACGUGCCAGCAGCCGCGGUAAUACGGAGGGGGCCAGCGUUAUCCGGAUUUACUGGGUGUAAAGGGAGCGUAGGCGGAAGCGCAAGUCUGGAGUGAAAUCCCAUGGCUUAACCAUGGAACUGCUUUGGAAACUGUGCGGCUGGAGUGCAGGAGAGGUAAGCGGAAUUCGUAGUGUAGCGGUGAAAUGCGUAGAUAUUAGGAAGAACACCAAUGGCGAAGGCGGCUUACUGGACUGUAACUGACGUUGAGGCUCGAAAGCGUGGGUAGCAAACAGGAUUAGAUACCCUAGUAGUC
rnacentral:rRNA from 1 species